AUGAGACAUGUGCGCACCUGACCAAUCCGAUGACGUACACAUUAAUAGUCUCAAAUGUAAACAAAACGAAAUAGUGACACUCAAAUAUUUUUAUCUGAAAAUCUAGACACUAAUUCCAGUUAAAUAAAAAAAACUCGACAUUCGGGAGAUAAAGCAGACGGCGCGUGUACACACGCGCAUUUUCUGUACUCAAAAAUGUACCGUAAUGUCGAAGCUCGGCCCCUUCGGAUCGAGAAAGAGAGAGAAAAAAUUCAAAUAUGAAGUAAAAAAAAAAAAUUGAAACAUUUGCGUGAAACGACGCGACUUUCGUUCGGCAGAUCUGAGGUUUCACACACAUUCGUUUUGAAAAAAAAAAAUCUAUUCAUGUGUAGAUGUGGUUAUACGUAUAGUCGAUUCGCGUGAACUUUCUGUUGACGCGCGAUCUCGACGCGGAGACAGUCCACGUGGGGCCAGUAUUUUUUUUUUAUUCUUUAUCAAUUAAAUAGACGACUUCGAGGGUCUCAGUCGUGCUGGGCUCUAUUAAUUGAGGUAAUUUACGGGGAGUAGAUACCGGGAGAUAGCGACGAUGUUCCGUAAUUCGGGACGACAAUUUUCAAGUAGAUUAGGAACCGAUUGAACAGACACGGCAUCGAUCAGACACAUAUGUAACUUGUCUUUUAACACUGGAGUAAUGACUAUUGGCUGGUCGUAUGCUUGCACGAUUCUAUGGUAAUCAAAUUCACUAUCAUCGGCCCACUCAACGCACUUCCGUUGAUGACACCCAAAUUUAUGAUUUACCGCUGUCGUUUUUUUUCCUCGACACUGUUGUUUAUGACAGUAUUUAUUGAAUAUUUCACUGGGUAAAUUACUACGGGCUGUGGAAAAUUUAUCGGGUGAUUCAAAACCGAGGGGAAAGGAGAUUUAAUAUUUACCGAUUCGGCGUAAGUUGUAACAGAUCGAGUGAAACUCCGACUGAUUGAACAAUCAUAUUUUCAUAUUUACGAGAGUGCAAUUGACUCUAUACCAACUAAAUUAUUUAUUUUUUAAUUAACACAUUGAACACGUUUUUACCGAUUUACUUCACUUGUGUAAAUUAUUCGGAGUUGUGGGUAAAUAAUUUUAAAAAUUCCACUUGAUGGUAAAAAGAGAGAGUUUAUAACAUUUGUCGAUGCUGUGUCGUGCCUGGUAAAACCGGACUGGUGUAUGGCGAAGGGCAGAUUGACCGGGCAAUUUUUUAUUUCGGCAGAGGCUGCCCAAUGCCGACGCCUCGUGCGUCGUAUUAGUAAUCAAGUCGACUGACCUUUCUGAUUGGAAUACAGAGCCAUCCGCAUAUCUGAGUUAAAUUCUUUGGAAAUCAUUUUCUCGUAGUUUUUGUCACCGGAGUCGGAUACGCGCAGUGAUUUUAUGGCACAACACGUGGCAUCGGUAAGAGACAUUAAUCAUAAUCUUUCGCUGAAUGAUGAUGAUUUAAUGAUUGUGAGGGAAAUAGUGACGUAGGGUCAUCAUCGGUGCAUUAAUCUUCAAUGAUAAUUUUUAAUUUAUGAAUUUCAAUCGUCUCGUGACAGUUGUUCGUCUAGUUUUGCUUCUGAAGUCCAUAAAUAAUACUAUAAAUAAAGGAUGAAGAUUUAAAUAAACGUGGAAGAAGAAUUUUCCUUCACUUUUCUCCAUUUACAUCUUCAAUAAUAAUUAUCCCUCUCAUUUAUAAAUAAAAAAAUAAUAGUGCUGUCCAGUACUUUGUGGAUAAUUUCCUCAAGUUCAGGUGGAAAGCAGACGCUUAUUUGAUUGACUAUUAUCGGGAAAUAAUCGGCGCAGGAUAAUAAUCAAAGCUCGAAUGUUCAAUAAUAAAAAUUUGUAAUUCUUUAUCAUCUGUCAGUUUCAAUAAACAUCACCUAAUUAUUACAUUUCUUCGAUAUUCUCCCAUCGCAUUAUUUGUACCAUAAUACAUAGUAACGUAUGCACAAAAUAGAGCGUGCAAUGCGCAUAGGCAAUCAACAGCGUUCGUCUAUUAAUGUAACUAAUAAUCAUCGUAAUCACCCUCAUUGAAUCCAAGUGCAUGAUAUUUAAAUUCAGCACGUGAAAAUAUAAUUUCCCGGCUCACCAACAAUCCGUUAAUUCUUCAUCAAUUAUUUCAUCACAUACACGAACAACUGAAAACACACAUACGCAACAAGCACACAUGUGCACACGCUCCCUGCAAAAAUCCAAUGAUUCAUCAGUGUUUAUUGUUUUCAUUAGGUUAUAAAUAUUCAAUUAAAUUUAGGUGAAAAUCAAAAUAUCAUUUUCAGUACUGUGCGUGAGCACAUGCGCGAAUACUCAAUGAUUCGAUUUAUUGCUUGUGAUUAUAUUUAUUCAAAUGGGCAAGUAUUUGUAUCCAAUUUGAAAAAAAAAGGACGAAAAAUGGAAAUAAUUUCACAAUUUUUUCCAUAAUCCUGCUGUUCACUCUACUCAACAAUUUGUUUCUUUGAUAAUUAAUUACUCUCUAAUGAGCCAAUUUUUUCCCUAAUCUUUUCGCAUUGACAUCACUGCUUUCUGGAAAUAUAUACAAGUGUAGAUUUACAUAGUUAUUCCUUCAAAUUUUUAGUCUCAUCCAUCAUGAUUCAUCAUUAAAUCUCCUCUCUACACAAUAGAUGUCAUUAAAAAACAUAUGUUAAUCACAUAACGAUGUAUACACAUUUUUCACUAGAACAUGAUCAUCAUCACCAUCAUCGUUUCUUUUGUCACUUGAUUUAUCUAGAUCGAAUCGAUAGCCACUAGAUUUGGUUUCAAUUCAUUUAAGUAUAUAAGGUAUUUUAGCGUGAAUACCACAGCGACAUUGAUUCUCAUUAGUUAAUUGGAUAGUUUGUGUUAAUUAAUUGGUAUAUGUUAUUGUUAAUAGUACAACAGUUGAAUCCACAAUCGUGGACAUUUAAUCUAUCUAUAAUAAUCGAUUAAUUAACACAAACUAGGUGAAAAUUUAUUAACGAUAAUUCAAAAACAUACAUCGAUUAUGAAUAUCUCUAAACAAUCAGUUUUAUCAUUUAUUAUUAUCAUUUUACGUGGAUUUGUUAAAAUGAAAAUGCUGGCUAUUCGCUUGAGAAUAGUAUUGCCUGCUGAGACCACUCAAGUCUGCUCCCUUUAUACUUUUUUCCUCUUUUUGUGACAACUUUAUCGUUUAAUGGAUCAAAAAUUUAUUCCUAUGCUGGCGUUGCGGAUAAAUUUUCGAAAUUAAAAUCAAAGUAACAUCUCAAAUCCCUAACACACUAUUGUACACACUAUUUUACAAGUGGUUGAGGUUCUUGAAAAUAUUUAUAUACAUUUGAAAUUUAAAUUCCACCAGCGCCAGCUAAACACCCCUCGGACUUUUCAAUUAAUUUAACUUAUUAUGGCAUAAAUUUUUUCUUUGUUAUGUACAUAUUUUUUUUUUCAUUUGUUGUUGUCAGUUUAUGUUCCUCUUGUUAUGGCUUAUUCACAUAUAUACUCUUUCUUUUAUUGACAAAUUAAAAUGAAUACGAGCUCCUUCGCUUUCAGGAGUCGAUCGAAAAAUAAUUCAUCUUUAAUCACUCCCAUCGAUUGUUCCUAAGUACAUUCUCAUUUCAUUUAUUUUUUUCAACUUUUCAAUUAUCUUUUUCGAGUAUUUUUCUCGUCGACAAAUGAGUAAGAAAGCAUUAUCCACUUUACAUUCCUAAAUAUAACUUGCUUUAUACUGUUGACUGAUACUGAUUGAUUGGAUUUUUAUUUAUUUAUUUAUUUAUUUUUUUAAACAUCAACAGCCGUAAGUGAAGAGCAACUCGGUCUCUGGAGAAUUUCAUGGUAAGUAAAAAAAAAAAGAAAUUCAACAGGUAUUGUUUA